AACGAACGCUGGCGGCAGGCUUAACACAUGCAAGUCGAACGCACCUUUCGGGGUGAGUGGCAGACGGGUGAGUAACGCGUGGGAAUCUACCCUUCUCUACGGGAUAGCUCCGGGAAACUGGAAUUAAUACCGUAUACGUCCUGAGGGAGAAAGAUUUAUCGGGGAAGGAUGAGCCCGCGUUGGAUUAGCUAGUUGGUGGGGUAAAGGCCUACCAAGGCGACGAUCCAUAGCUGGUCUAAGAGGAUGAUCAGCCACAUUGGGACUGAGACACGGCCCAAACUCCUACGGGAGGCAGCAGUGGGGAAUAUUGGACAAUGGGCGCAAGCCUGAUCCAGCCAUGCCGGGUGAGUGAUGAAGGCCCUAGGGUUGUAAAGCUCUUUCAGUGGGGACGAUAAUGACGGUACCCACAGAAGAAGCCCCGGCUAACUUCGUG
rnacentral:rRNA from 1 species